CUCAUUGUCCAGAGCUCAGCCAACCACUAGCAUUUAGGUUAGUUUGAGGAGAGUGAGAAAUCGAGGAGGUGCAGUAGGAGUGGGACUGCAAAAGCACUGCAGGAAUGAAGAGCAGUCAUCCACAUGAAUUCAUCCUUGAGAACAUUUUCAUGGGAACCAUGCAUGGGGUAAGAUUCAGCCCACACCUCGAGUUCAGAGAACGAUAGGAAUAUCCUACAGAGAGAAGUGGACAAUACUAAUAAAGUCUCAGAGGUGGAAUGACAGUGGCAAGUUUGCCACUCAGCAAGUUUGCCAGUGACCCAAGCUGUGUGAUGCAGGUGACUGACACACUGGAGAGAAGGGAAGCCACCCAGAGGGAAGGGAUUCUGGAGAGGAGGGACUCAACUGACUCAGAUGUAGUGAUGUGAUAAAACCCAGCUAUGGCCAGAUCGACUCAGCUGCACCUGAGGAAUGUGGAUAACUUCUGGAAGAGCAUGUGAGGAGUACUCUACAGCUUUUUCAGGAGGCUGAGGCUGGUGCUGCCAGCAGCCAGUCUGCCAUGGAGGCUUGCUGAACGGUGAAAUGAAUGUAUGCAACUAUCUCAAAAGCUUCAGAAAGGCAAAGCUCUGCAAGGCAGAAGCUAUUAGUCUAUACACACAACCAGGGUUGCCCCAUCCCAGAUGCAGAAUCCAGCACUUUCCUUUGUUGAACUUCAUACAGCUGGGGAUUCCCCAUCUCUAAUUUGUCAAGGUCUCUCUGCAGGGCCUCUGCCCUUGAGGGAGUUAGCAGCUCAUCCCAACUUAGUGUUGUUGGCAAACUUACUAUCCCUUCUAGUCCUGUAUUCAAGUCAUUAAUGAAGAUGUUGAAGAGCACAGGCUGAGGAUGGAGGCCUGUGGAACCCCACUAGUGACAGGUCACCAGUCUGAAGUCACCCCAACUGAUGUCACUGUAACCCUCUGUACCUGCCCUGGGGGCCAGUUGCUCACCCAAUGUGUAACAUGAUUAUCCAGCUGUGGGAUGGACAUUUUGUUCAGGAGGAUGUUGAGACAGUAGCAAAAACUUUGCUGAGGUCUGAGACGAUCAUGCCUACUGACUUUUCUAGACCAAGUAGGUGGGUUAACCUGUUGCAAAAGGAAAUCAGGUUUGAUAAGCAGGACUUUCCUCUCAUGAAGUCAUGCUGGCUGUGACCAAGGACUGGAUUGUCUUUCAGGUGUUUUUUAAUACUUCCCUAAGUAAUCUUCUCCAUAACUUUACCAGACACUGAAAUGACACUGAAAGGCCUGUAGUUUCUGCAAUCCUCCUCCCUGCCCUUCAUGAAAAUCAGGACAAUGUUCACCAACCUCCACUCAGCUCCAAAUUCGCAAGAUCGCUUGAAAAUGAUUGAGAGAGGCUUUGCAAUUACAUCAGCUAACUCUUUGAGGACUCUGAGAUUAAUCCCAUGAGGCUCCAUAGAUUUAUAUGCAUCUAGCUGGAGCAGCAGAUACCAUGAAAUUUCAGAGUAUACUGAUAAUUCUCACAGUCAUUGUCCUCCAGCUCAAGGUUCUAAGAACUCCUUGGUUCAUCACAGCUGCUGAAGACAGAGGUAAAGAAUGCAUUAAACACUUCUGCCUGUUCCCUGUCCCUGUUUGUGAGGGGACAAUCAUCAUCCUGGAAUGGGCUGAUGUUGUUUCUACACUGACUAUUGCCAUGAAUAUAUUUGGAAAAACUUUUUAUUGUCCCCCAUAUUUCUGGAAGCUUCAACUCCAGCUGAGCUUUGGCCAUACGAAUUUUCUCCCUAGAGUGGCAAGCAGCAUCUCUGUGCUCCUCUAUGUCACCUGACCUUGCUGCUACCAGGCAUACACUCUGCACUGGGUUAUGUGGGAACAUUGCUGCUCAGUUAGCAUUUAUUUAAGGAACUGAGAGGGAAUGUAUGCAAAUAUUUGGCUCUGUUAACUCAAGACAACAAACAGUGAAUAAAGAAUAAAGAUAAAGAGGGAAUUGGUUGCCUAGGUAGUUGUUCAGGACUGUUGUAAGCACUUUCUAGGGAAGAAAAAUCUUACCACAUAAUUUUACUUACUGGUUUCUGACUUUUUCCAGGUAUGUUUUGCUCUUUUUGGCCUACCAAGUCUGCAGGUUUGGAAGAAGGAGGCAGUCCUUGGCUUUUAACAGGGAUUUGUGACUUUAAUUGUUGGUGUUUGAAAAGGAGUCCCCAGACCCCUUGUGGACAGGUGACUUGCACUAUUGGCCAUGCAAGUGAUAGAAGUCACAUUCAGAUAAGUGCAGCUCUUGGAAUCUCUCUGUGUGUAUGCACAUACUAGAAGAAGCUAUUUUUGCAGCUAAGUCUGGAUAUUACUUCUCCUAAAAACUCGGUGUUUUUCCAAGACUCACUAAUUAAAUUAGCAACUGAAGAUAUGUGAGUAACUUUCUCUAAAGAGGAUGCUGAUUAAUUUCCUUUUCCUUGUCCUGAACUGAUCUGAUUCUCCUAAAUAAAUUGUAUCAGGACAGUUUUAAAGCAUUUGUAAGGGUUUUGUGUCAUCACUGAGUCUUGGCUUCUUGAGAUGUCUUCUGGUUUAAACAACCAUUCAUUUUGGACAGUUACAUUCUUCUGGAAUGGGAACAGGUUUUUUGUCUCCUGUGUGUUUCUGGUCUUUCAAUGUGUUGCAUUUAUUUAAAACCUCUUUUCAGUAAUUUGUAGGUACACAUUUUUUAUUCCUUUCUACAAUUGAGAAUUAUGGUACAUUUUUAUUGUAAGGGAGAUUGAAUUAAUCAGGAUCUAGAAUGUGUCUGAGCUACUGAAGGACUGUACAAUCAAUUCAGUUCUUAAAGACCUCCAAGGAGAUAAAGUUUGACUACAGAUGCACAGAAUAUCAACAGAGAAGCAAAGACAAUUCUGAUGGAAAUACUUGCAGCUUACUUACCAGGAGAAAACCCCUUUGCUCCAAAACUGGAUCUUCUGUACAUUGUAUUGUAGAGGUACACAGGCAGAAUUAAACUUCUUCAGCUCUGU